rnacentral:rRNA from 1 species
UACGAAGGGGGCUAGCGUUGUUCGGAAUUACUGGGCGUAAAGCGUAUGCAGGCGGACUUUAAGUCAGGGGUGAAAUCCCGAGGCUCAACCUCGGAACUGCCUUUGAUACUGGAAGCCUUGAGUCCGGGAGAGGUGAGUGGAACUCCGAGUGUAGAGGUGAAAUUCGUAGAUAUUCGGAAGAACACCAGUGGCGAAGGCGGCUCACUGGCCCGGUACUGACGCUGAGAUACGAAAGCGUGGGGAGCAAACAGG